rfam:Ailuropoda melanoleuca scaffold395_4, whole genome shotgun sequence.
GCCUAGCUGGCUCAGUUGAAAGAGUGUGUGACUCUUGAUCUCAGAGUCAUGAGUUCGAGUCCCAUGUUAGGUG